CCUACGGGAGGCAGCAGUGGGGAAUAUUGGACAAUGGGCGAAAGCCUGAUCCAGCCAUGCCGCGUGUGUGAAGAAGGCCUUCGGGUUGUAAAGCACUUUCAGUGGGGAAGAAAGCCUUGGGGCUAAUACCCUCGAGGAAGGACAUCACCCACAGAAGAAGCACCGGCUAACUCCGUGCCAGCAGCCGCGGUAAUACGGAGGGUGCGAGUGUUAAUCGGAAUUACUGGGCGUAAAGCGCGCGUAGGCGGUCUGAUAAGCCGGUUGUGAAAGCCCCGGGCUCAACCUGGGAACGGCAUCCGGAACUGUCAGGCUAGAGUGCAGGAGAGGAAGGUAGAAUUCCCGGUGUAGCGGUGAAAUGCGUAGAGAUCGGGAGGAAUACCAGUGGCGAAGGCGGCCUUCUGGACUGACACUGACGCUGAGGUGCGAAAGCGUGGGUAGCAAACAGGAUUAGAUACCCCAGUAGUC
rnacentral:rRNA from 1 species